GAGUUUGAUCUUGGCUCAGGACGAACGCUGGCGGCGUGCUUAACACAUGCAAGUGGUGCGACGAACCAGGGCUUGCCCUGGGGCAAAGCCGCGAACGGGUGAGUAACACGUGAGUAACCUGCCCCGAUGACCGGGACAACCCGAGGAAACUCGGGCUAAUACCGGAUGUGGUGCACGGAUUUAAGUCUGUGUACUAAAGGAAGCUUCGGCCUCCGCAUUGGGAGGGGCUCGCGGCCCAUUAGCUCGUUGGUGGGGUAACGGCCUACCAAGGCAACGAUGGGUAGCUGGUCUGAGAGGACGAUCAGCCACACUGGGACUGAGACACGGCCCAGACUCCUACGGGAGGCAGCAGUAGGGAAUAUUGGACAAUGGGCGCAAGCCUGAUCCAGCCAUGCCGCGUGAGUGAAGAAGGCCCUCGGGUUGUAAAGCUCUUUUGUCCGGAAAGAAAAGCGCCGGGUUAAUACCCUGGUGUCCUGACGGUACCGGAAGAAUAAGCACCGGCUAACUUCGUGCCAGCAGCCGCCGCCGU
rnacentral:rRNA from 1 species